AACGAACGCUGGCGGCAGGCUUAACACAUGCAAGUCGAACGCAUCCUUCGGGGUGAGUGGCAGACGGGUGAGUAACGCGUGGGAACGUGCCCUUCAGUUCGGGAUAACCCAGGGACACUUGGGCUAAUACCGGAUACGUGCGAGAGCGGAAAGAUUUAUCGCUGAAGGAUCGGCCCGCGUCUGAUUAGCUAGUUGGUGGGGUAAUGGCCCACCAAGGCGACGAUCAGUAGCUGGUCUGAGAGGAUGAUCAGCCACAUUGGGACGGAGACACGGCCCAAACUCCUACGGGAGGCAGCAGUGGGGAAUAUUGGACAAUGGGCGCGAGCCUGAUCCAGCCAUGCCGCGUGAGUGAUGAAGGCCUUAGGGUUGUAAAGCUCUUUCGUCCGGGACGAUAAUGACGGUACCGGAAGAAGAAGCCCCGGCUAACUUCGUGCCAGCAGCCGCCGUAA
rnacentral:rRNA from 1 species